rnacentral:rRNA from 1 species
GUAAGUUGUGUAGGGCGCACGGUGGAUGCCUAGGCGCUAAGUACUGAAGAAGGGCGUGGCAAGCUGCGAUAAGCUUCGGGGAGCCGCAAGCAGGCAUAGAUCCGGAGAUUUCCGAAUGGGGGAACCCGGCGGUCGAUAACCGGCCGUCACCGCCCACUGAAUUCAUAGGUGGAGCGGGGGGAACCAGGGGAACUGAACCAUCUAAGUACCCUGAGGAGAAGAAAAUAACAAUGAUUCCCUAAGUAGUGGCGAGCGAACGGGGAAGAGCCUAAACCGGCUGUGGUGCAUAAGCUUGAAGGCGUUGCCCAGCUGGUGUCGUGGGACCGAUUGGCCGUGGCUUCAAACAUGGCGGCGAGACUUGGCCUGACUAGCCGAAUAUUUCUGGAAAGCUGAACCGAAGAAGGUGAUAGUCCUGUAGGUGAAAGUCAGGAAGCUCGUUGGAUCGGCACCCGAGUACUACGGGAUCCGGGAAAGCCCGUGGGAAUUUGCGAGGACCGUCUCGUAAGGCUAAAUAUACCUUAGCGACCGAUAGUGAAUAGUACCGUGAGGGAAAGGUGAAAAGCAUGCCGAUGAGGCAAGUGAAAGAGACCCUGAAACCGUGUGCCUGCAAGCAGUCAGAGGGCUAUGGACAUCUUGCAUGUCAAUGCCUGAUGGCGUGCCUAUAGAAGAAUGAUCCGACGAGUUACCCAACGUAGCGAGGUUAAGCCGGGAAUGGCGGAGCCGAAGCGAAAGCGAGUCUGAAUAGGGCAAUAGUUGCGUUGGGUAGACCCGAAACCAAGUGAGCUACCCUUGGCCAGGAUGAAGCCCCGGUAACACGGGGUGGAGGUCCGAAUGCCUCAACGUGAAAAGUUGAGUAAUGAGCUGUGGGUAGGGGUGAAAAGCCAAUCGAACUUGGAGAUAGCUGGUUCUCCCCGAAAUAGUUUUAGGACUAGCCUCGGAAAUGAGAAUCAUGGGGGUAGAGCACUGGAUGGGCUAGGGGGCAUACCAGCUUACCAAACCCAACCAAACUUCGAAUACCAUGAUUUGGUGUCCGGGAGUCAGGCAGUGGGAGAUAAGUUUCAUUGCCGCGAGGGAAACAGCCCAGACCGUCGGUUAAGGUCCUGAAGUUCAUGCUAAGUGGGAAACGAUGUAGAGUUCCAUAGACAGCCAGGAUGUUGGCUUAGAAGCAGCCAUUCAUUCAAAGAGUGCGUAAUAGCUCACUGGUCGAGGGACUCUGCGCGGAAAAUGUAACGGGGCUGAAGCAUGACACCGAAACCACGGGUUCAGUAGAAUUUCGGUUCUAUUGAGCGGUAGGGGAGCGUUCUGCAUUGGAAGAAGGUAUACCGCGAGGAGUGCUGGACGGUGCAGAAAUGAGAAUGUCGGAACGAGUAGCGAUAAGACAGGCGAGAAACCUGUUCGCCGUAAGCCUAAGGUUUCCUGGGCAAGGUUAAUCCACCCAGGGUUAGUCGGUCCUAAGCCGAGGUCGAGUCGACGUAGGUGAAGGGAAGCUGGUUAAUAUUCCGCACCAUGUGCUUAUCGGUUAUCGAUGUGGUGACGCAGGGGGGUAUUCCCGCACGGUUCGAUAGUCCGUGUCGAAGGGUGUAGGCGGAGACUACAGGCAAAUCCGUAGUUUCAACGCUGAGGCCUGACAGGCACCCGAAGCUAGUAGGGUGAAGGAGAAGAUCCCUGGCUGCCGAGAAAAGCCACUAAGAGAGAUGAGCAUGUGACCGUACCGCAAACCGACACAGGUGGGCGAGGAGAAAAUCCUAAGGCGCUCGAGAGAACCCACGUUAAGGAACUAGGCAAAUUGACUCCGUAACUUCGGGAGAAGGAGUGCUCUGGUAGGGUGACGGGAACGUAUUAGCAAUGAUGCGUCGAACGGUAGCCCGAGAGAGUCGCAGAGAAUAGGCUCAGGCGACUGUUUAUCAAAAACACAGGACUCUGCUAAGGCGAAUAGCCGACGUAUAGGGUCUGACGCCUGCCCAAUGCUGGAAGGUUACGGGGAGGGGUCAGGAGUAGUAAUACUCCGAAGCUCCGAACUUAAGCCCCAGUGAAUGGCGGCCGUAACUAUAACGGUCCUAAGGUAGCGAAAUCCCUUGUCGGGUAAGUUCCGACCCGCAUGAAUGGCGUAACGGUCUGAGCACUGUCUCAACGUGGGGCUCGGCGAAACUGUGAACUGGGUGAAGACGCCCAGUAUCCGCAUCAGGACAAAAAGACCCCGUGGAGCUUUACUGUAGCUUGAUAUUGACUUUUGGCCUUAUAUGUAGAGCAUAGGUGGGAGACUAUGAAACUAGGGCGCCAGCCUUGGUGGAGUCAACAGUGGAAUACCACCCUUAUGAGUCUGGAAUUCUAACUUGCGCCCGUUGAUCCGGGCGAGGGACAGUGUCAGGCGGGCAGUUUGACUGGGGCGGUCGCCUCCCAAAAUGUAACGGAGGCGUCCAAAGGUUCCCUCAGCGUGAUUGGAAACCACGCGCAGAGUGCAAAGGCAAAAGGGAGCUUGACUGUGAGGCAAACGAGCCGAACAGGGACGAAAGUCGGGCUUAGUGAUCCGGUGGUUCCGAAUGGAAGGGCCAUCGCUCAACGGAUAAAAGCUACCCCGGGGAUAACAGGCUUAUCUCCCCCAAGAGUUCAUAUCGACGGGGAGGUUUGGCACCUCGAUGUCGGCUCAUCGCAUCCUGGGGCUGGAGUAGGUCCCAAGGGUUGGGCUGUUCGCCCAUUAAAGCGGUACGUGAGCUGGGUUCAGAACGUCGUGAGACAGUUCGGUCUCUAUCCGAUGCGGACGUAGGAAAAUUGAAGGGUGCUGCUCUUAGUACGAGAGGACCGGAGUGGACAGACCGAUGGUGAACCAGUUGUGACGUCAGUUGCAUCGCUGGGUAGCUAAGUCUGGAUGGGAUAACCGCUGAAGGCAUCUAAGUGGGAAACCCGCCCUAAGAUAAAUUUUCCCUUUCGAUCGCAAGACGAAGUAAGGGGCCAUGUAGACUACGUGGCGAUAGGCCGGAGGUGAAAACGCUGCGAGGCGUGAGCUGACCGGUACUAAUACCCCGAGGACUUACCCUC